AGUUGCCGGUUUGCCACAGAUACACAGAAUUAUCGCAGGAAGCACAUGACAUUUUGUGCUUACUGGCAGGUUGAUUUUUCUCCUUUACUGAGUGCCAAGUUUUGAAAUAGAAAGCAACAUGUUACGUACAUGAUGACAAGCAAACUGUAGGAGUCAUAGAAAUGGAUUGUUGGUCGUCUCUAUGUGACUAAAGAUCAUUCUCUGAAAGGGUAGGUCAAGUAACAUCGACCUUGGUAAUGACUGUGGCUGCCCAGAGCCCAUCACGAACCAAUAAUGACAGAGAUCACUGAUCAGUGAUCCUGAAAUAAGGAUGUUUCCAGCCAUAGCGCAUUCAAGAGAACCAGAGUCCUUGAACUGAGUGCCUUUUAUUUAGAGGAGAAUACUACCUUGAGGAAGAUGAAUCAUGCUGUGGCUGGCAAGAAGACCUGGACCUUGAAUUUUUGCUCAGAUGGUACAGAUUGAGCUGGCACUUAUGUUAUUUCCUUGGAAUAUGCUAAUGUCUACAGAUAAUCAUCCACAUUACAAUGGAAGAAGUCCCUAGAAUUAGAGUACAAGGGCCUCUUUCAAAUACCAGGUUUUAAUGCUAUCCAGAAUUCCAGAAGACUGAUGAUGAAGCAUGCUACCCAAGUUCUGACAGAGAAGAGAUGGACUCAAGAUGCAGAAUGUGAUAUCCAUUUUUGGACACAGUCAAUGUGUAAAUUUGUUUUGCUUGACUGGCUCUCCUCUCCUCUUCUCUCCUUGCCUUUCCCAAUGGAGGUGGGGUCAAGAAGAAAUAGGGAUACAGUUACAAAAAAAAGGAAAGAGGAUCCUCGAGGCAUCUUUUUUAAUGAACAGAAAAGAAUAGAUUGAAGGAUGGACAAGCCAGACAACUUUGACAGUUACAGGUUGAGGUUAUUAAAUACUUGAAAAGAAAAGCAAGCUGCAUAUAACAGUGGCCUGCCAUUUCAUGUACAGUCCUGUUUCACCAUUCUGUUUUGUAUGUGCGAAUGGUCAUUUGGUUUCUAAAGUUUAAAAAAAUGGAAAAACUGAAAAUAAAAAAUAAAAACAAAUCCUAGGCUUGCAACUUACUACCUUUGUUGUUUGAAGUGAGUCAUUUUAUAAAGGCAGCUAGGUGGUCUAAUGGAUAGAGUGGACUCAGAGAAACUUGACACAGGGCAAGUCACUUAACCUCUGUCUGCUUUAGUUUUUCAAAUGUCAAAUGAGAAUAAGAACAGCAUCUUCUUCCUAGGGUUUUUGUGAAGAUCAAAUGAUCUAUUAUUUGUCAAUGUGCCAAGCAUGGUUGCCAACAAGAAGUUGGUGCUUAAUAAAAUGCUUAUUUCCUUC